AUACGUAGGGGGCGAGCGUUGUCCGGAAUGAUUGGGCGUAAAGGGCGCGUAGGCGGCCCGGUAAGUCUGGAGUGAAAGUCCUGUUUUUAAGAUGGGAAUUGCUUUGGAUACUGUCGGGCUUGAGUGCAGGAGAGGUAAGUGGAAUUCCCAGUGUAGCGGUGAAAUGCGUAGAGAUUGGGAGGAACACCAGUGGCGAAGGCGACUUACUGGACUGUAACUGACGCUGAGGCGCGAAAGUGUGGGAGCAAACAGGAUUAGAUACCCUGGUAGUCCACACUGUAAACGAUGAAUGCUAGGUGUAGGGGGUAUCGACCCCUUCUGUUCCGCAGUCAACACAAUAAGCAUUCCGCCUGGGGAGUACGGCCGCAAGGUUGAAACUCAAAGGAAUUGACGGGG
rnacentral:rRNA from 1 species